rfam:Picea glauca, whole genome shotgun sequence.
ACAUGCCUACAACAUAGUGUUAAUGCAUCGGAUCCCAUUAGAACUCCACAGUUAAGCGCACUCGGUCUAGAUUAGUACUGGGAUGGGUGACCACUCGGGAAGUGCUAGUAUUUUACAUGCC